GAUUGUUCCAAUCUAUGUACAUCGAUAUCAUGUUGAAAUGGUUCAAUAUAAAGAAUUUUAAGAAAGGCUAUCUACCGAUAGGCCAUGAAAUUACUCUUUUCAAAAAAGAUUAUCCGACAAUCUCUCAAGAGAGAGAGAGCGUAUGAGUAGGAUCCCAUAUACUUUGGUAAUGAGAUCUAUCAUGUACGUCAUGACGUGUACA
rnacentral:lncRNA from 1 species